rnacentral:rRNA from 1 species
GAUGAACGCUAGCGGCAGGCUUAACACAUGCAAGUCGAGGGGUAGUCUAGCAAUAGAUGAGACCGGCGCACGGGUGCGUAACGCGUAUGCAAUCUACCUUUUACAGAGGGAUAGCCCAGAGAAAUUUGGAUUAAUACCUCAUAGUAUAACGACUCGGCAUCGAGAUGUUAUUAAAGCUCCAACGGUAAAAGAUGAGCAUGCGUCCCAUUAGCUAGUUGGUGUGGUAACGGCACACCAAGGCAACGAUGGGUAGGGGUCCUGAGAGGGAGAUCCCCCACACUGGUACUGAGACACGGACCAGACUCCUACGGGAGGCAGCAGUGAGGAAUAUUGGUCAAUGGGCGCAAGCCUGAACCAGCCAUGCCGCGUGCAGGAUGACGGUCCUAUGGAUUGUAAACUGCUUUUGUACAGGAAGAAACACUCCCUCGUGAGGGAGCUUGACGGUACUGUAAGAAUAAGGAUCGGCUAACUCCGUGCCAGCAGCCGCGGUAAUACGGAGGAUCCAAGCGUUAUCCGGAAUCAUUGGGUUUAAAGGGUCCGUAGGCGGGUUUAUAAGUCAGUGGUGAAAGCCCAUCGCUCAACGAUGGAACGGCCAUUGAUACUGUAGAUCUUGAAUUAUUAGGAAGUAACUAGAAUAUGUAGUGUAGCGGUGAAAUGCUUAGAGAUUACAUGGAAUACCAAUUGCGAAGGCAGGUUACUACUAAUGGAUUGACGCUGAUGGACGAAAGCGUGGGUAGCGAACAGGAUUAGAUACCCUGGUAGUCCACGCCGUAAACGAUGGAUACUAGCUGUUCGGAGCAAUCUGAGUGGCUAAGCGAAAGUGAUAAGUAUCCCACCUGGGGAGUACGUUCGCAAGAAUGA